rnacentral:rRNA from 1 species
UACGGAGGGGGCUAGCGUUGUUCGGAAUUACUGGGCGUAAAGCGCACGUAGGCGGCUUUGCAAGUCAGAGGUGAAAGCCCGGGGCUCAACCCCGGAAUUGCCUUUGAGACUGCAUCGCUAGAAUUGUGGAGAGGUAAGUGGAAUUCCGAGUGUAGAGGUGAAAUUCGUAGAUAUUCGGAAGAACACCGGUGGCGAAGGCGGCGACCUGGUCCGGGACUGACGCUGAGGCGCGAAAGCGUGGGGAGCAAACAGG